CCUUGUGAUCAUUAAUAAAAACAUUGUAAAUUAUCAGAAGUUCAUAACUAUAAGUAAGUGAUGAACUUCUGAAAAUAUCGAAUCGAUUUCAGACAUACAUAUAUACUUGAACUUAGGUAAACGACUGUUGCCUCUGAUACUCAGGCUUUAUAUGGAAGCAUUCCAUUGACAUUUCUUUUUUUUUGGAAAAAUUUAGGAUUUAGAUA
rnacentral:lncRNA from 1 species